UUUAACUGUAUCCUACGUGCAUAAAGUAUUCAGAAAGAGAGCUUUAAGGCUGAGCGUCCAGACAAACUACUUCAAUAUUGCUGCAGUUAAAUAGACAGUGGUUCGGAUCAGUGGUUGUACUGUGUUUUCUGAGGGUCCUGACUAUCUGUGGGCUAUGUCAAAGGCAACUAAGAAAGAGGUGACUAAGAAAAGGCAACCUGAUUAGUACUCUUUAAAUUGUUGCAUAAAGAUCUCUAACAAUUGUUUGGGGGACCACAAAUGGGGACAUACUGAAAUGUAAGAGAACCCACUAUGAGGCAGGGCUGGGGAAGACAGGCGCACUGUUCAGCCUCAUUAUUCUAUUUACGGACUGUUUCAGCAGGAGCUCACCUUCAAUUUCAAUGAAUUGGAAUGUCCUAAAACUGUAAGAACCUGUAGCCUUCUGCCCCCUCCAAGUUCCACUGACAAGCUCUAUAUACUACCAGCGUGUGCGACAUAACCCAAUUAUUUGGCCCACUAUUACUGCAUUAGUAGAGUAAGACAUGUAUAUUCGCCAACUGGAACAGGAGCCACCAGUGAAGAUAACACACAGCAUUCCCAAACUGGACCAGAUGAGAUUAAAACCAUAAUAUGAGUGCCUGGAAAUGAUGCUUUCACUCCGUGAAUGAACAAGAUGAUCUUUUGGAAUAGUAAAGUUUAUACUUCUAAGCCUUUUUAGGCAAGCACAAAAGUGAGAAGGAAUUAAUAUUAAUGGCACAGAUAAAGAAAAACGUCAGCAUUCUUCAAAAAAGAAGAAAUGUAACCAACGGGCACUCUGACAACAGCACCAUACCACAGCCAAGGCAAGUAGCUCUGCCAGCGUUCCUUGAAUCAAGACAUGGAUUUCUAUUGCAGAAAUUAUGAUACAGUAAACUAAAAUUUUAAUAAAGUACCACACCAACAAUACUUAAGUCACUCUGCAAAAUGAGUGAAAGUUGGGUAACAUUUACAAAAAGCUAAGAAUAAAUUAUUCAAUGUGGUAGACUGGAUCAGGUUGUAACGAAGAAUGAGUUUUGGAACAAGGUAAAAGUUUUCUGUUCUUAGUUUUAGUUUUCUGUUCUUUAAUUAAUAUUUUAAUUAAAUAUUAACCCUUAAUCUUAAUUAACCCUUAGUUUCCUGUUCUUUAAUUAAUAUUUUUAUGCUUUUGCUUCUAUUAAUCAUCUCCUCCCUUAGUCAACUGAUGUACUUUAGUUUGGAUGUCCCGCCUGUUCUGUAUUUCACUCAGCGUCUGAUCAGACACCCCAAUUUAACAAGCGUUUCUGUAAACAGAGUGCAGCUGAGAAGCCAGGCAGUGGCUGUAGCUUUGGACAGAGAGUUACCUCU